rnacentral:lncRNA from 1 species
AGUUCUUAGACCACUAAAUUCUAAAGACAUCGAUCACUUCACAUGCAAGCAAACCCCACAUACCCACUAAUUAAUACAACUUAAAUUUACUCAGCCUUCUCCACCGGCUCUUCCUUGACAACUUUCUCCUCGGCAGCAUCAGCAGCUGGCUUCUCUUCCUCAACAGCUUCAGGCUUCUCUUCUUCCUUAACCACUACCUCUUCUUUAGGAUCUUCAGCCGCUGGUUCCGAUACCGGCUCCGGGGCAAUUGGUUCGGCAGAAGGAGCCUCAGCAGAGUCGUCAAUAUUCAAUUUCUCCUUAGUCUCCUCUACAAGUUCUGGCUCAGCAGUCUUCUCUACUGUUGGUUCUUCUGCUUCUUCUUUGGCCACAACAUCUUCCUUCGCCUCCUCCACCACCUUCACCUCCUUUGUCUCAACCUCAACUGGGGUGGUUUCAUCAGCUUCUGCAGCCUCAGCCUUAGGAACUUCACCAGAAGCCACAACA